GACGAACGCUGGCGGCGUGCUUAACACAUGCAAGUCGAACGGAAAGGCCCCGCUUUUGUGGGGUGCUCGAGUGGCGAACGGGUGAGUAACACGUGAGUAACCUGCCCUUGACUUUGGGAUAACUUCAGGAAACUGGGGCUAAUACCGGAUAGGAGCUCCUGCUGCAUGGUGGGGGUUGGAAAGUUUCGGCGGUUGGGGAUGGACUCGCGGCUUAUCAGCUUGUUGGUGGGGUAGUGGCUUACCAAGGCUUUGACGGGUAGCCGGCCUGAGAGGGUGACCGGCCACAUUGGGACUGAGAUACGGCCCAGACUCCUACGGGAGGCAGCAGUGGGGAAUAUUGCACAAUGGGCGGAAGCCUGAUGCAGCAACGCCGCGUGCGGGAUGGCGGCCUUCGGGUUGUAAACCGCUUUCGCCUGUGACGAAGCGUGAGUGACGGUAAUGGGUAAAGAAGCACCGGCUAACUACGUG
rnacentral:rRNA from 1 species